UGUGGAGGAUCUGGCGCCCUCUAGAGGGGAGAGAAAUCAUAUAGUCACAGUUACUCUAACGCAGGUAGGCCUAUUACUAGCGAUUCACACUCGUGCACAAAAUCACAUCACACACACCCACAAAAGAUCACACUAUUGUGAAAACAAGGGCAGAAUAGCCACAAAUGUAAAUAGAAGUAUUCAAUCGAACUAGCACAACACGUUAAUCCAAAGGGUGACACGCACACACAGUUAAUUGCUACUACGUUAAAGUCCUGUUUACACAAUGGAUUUCCCCACCCUGCGCACACUUCUAAAGAAACUGUAGCGAGCAGCCUGACAUUCUAUCUUAACUAUGGCCAGCCUAGUAACACACAAUUGUUUGUACAGAGGAUGAAUGAAUAGUCCAGCAACCACUAACGACCCAGCCCACAGUUCGUAAUCCACAACACAGAACCAGGAAGUCGCCGCCGCCUCGGCCUCCUAGUCUCUCGCACUGAAACAGGGUAGCUUGCGCCUCUCGUCGCCAAUGCUCCUUCUUGAAUGUCAACAGUCGGCACUCCACCAGGAACUGCGAGGAGGAGGAAGUGAAUCAGCAAAGUAGCCACAAUAAAUCGCGGGGUAAAACCCACUCACAAGACAACGGCACAAUUACUUUCCUUCACGUGAAGAAUCGGGUGCGUUGGAUAAUCCUUUCGCGGCCCUCACGGUGUCCGAACGGAUGUUUGGUCAAUUCGCCGUUGUAGCUGGGAAGUCAGAUGCGGUAAUCCCGACGUCUCGGCUCGGCUCUCGUGGGUUGCGGUGCGUGAAGUAUCCGGGCGCCUGUUGCAGAUAAAGGGAACGCACCGAUGAGAGGGCCCAGUCAUCUUUUAUCCCCUCCAGCCACCAAUCACGGGUCUUGUCAAUUGUCUCCAUUAUUGGCAGCACCUGUGGAGGAACAUCUCACAAGCAUACACACACACACACACACAAACCCCACCCCCAGACAGUUCAUUCGACAUUUUGACUGUAGAGCCCCGCUACACUUGUUGUGCAUGUGCAUGUUUGUGUGUGUUUGUGUGUGUGGGUGGGUGGGUGUGUAUGCAUGCUGGUUUAUAAUCCCAAUGCUGUGACCAGGAUUGCUGUUCUUCCCCGGCUUGGGAUAACCCCCCAGUCUGUCUGUGUUGCUGUGCAUGUGCAUGUUGGUGUGGGUGUGUAUGCAUGCCGGUUUACAAUCCCACGGCUGUGACCAGGGUGGCUGUCCCAUUUGAUCCGUGCGGAGCUGGAGCACCAAACCUGCUGCUUAAGAUAAGUAGCCAUUUGUAGUACUGCUAGCAUACCUGGCUUGUAAGAUCAACCACUCUGUUAUUCAGUGCCUGUGUCUCCUCCUCCCCUCUGUCAGACAGGAGCAGUGUGGCCCACGUGAGCGGAGGACUGAGUUCGUGGUGGAGGCCUUCACUUUCCCUUGCUGUGUGCACAUUGAGGUGUCUUUUCCUUGGAUUGCAGUGUUUCUCUCACGCAUGGUGUAUUUUCUGGACCCCCUCCCCUCUGUCCUGCAGUAGUCCGGCUCGCUGUGGGCAGCUGUCGGUCGCAGAACAUGGGCCUCAUAACCGACCUCAUCUGAUUGGAACUGCAGGCCAACUGGGGUGGCGGGCUCUCUCAAGGUGGUGGCGUUCCUUCACUUUUCCUGCUGUGGUGCAUCUGAGUAUUUGAUAUUGACAUGUUCACGUGUGGUGUGUCUGUAGACCCUCUACUCUGAUAUACUCUCCAGCCCUGUUCCUGGCUCUUCCCAUCAUUCCUCAUCCAUUAGUCUACUGAGCACAUUCUGGUUGGUGCGUGUGUGUGUGUGUGUGUACAUGUGUGUCCAGGCCUUGUAGGCCAUUUGUGUCAGUGCCUUAGUGGCAGAGGUUCUGACUGUCUGGAGAGAACCAACUCCCUGUACGUUUUUAAUGAAUGUAAAUAAAG